UACGUAGGGGGCGAGCGUUACCCGGAUUUACUGGGCGUAAAGGGCGCGUAGGCGGGUCGUUUAGUUAGAGGUGAAAGCCCAGGGCUCAACCCUGGAAUUGCCUUUAAUACUGGCGGCCUUGAGUAUGGCAGAGGUGUGUGGAACUCCGAGUGUAGAGGUGAAAUUCGUAGAUAUUCGGAAGAACACCAGUGGCGAAGGCGACACGCUGGGCCAUUACUGACGCUGAGGCGCGAAAGCGUGGGGAGCAAACAGG
rnacentral:rRNA from 1 species